rnacentral:rRNA from 1 species
UACGUAGGUGACAAGCGUUUGUCCGGAUUUACUGGGCGUAAAGAGCCGCGCAGGCGGUCGAUCAAGUCGAGUCGUGAAAGCCCCCGGCUCAACUGGGGAGGGUCAUUCGAUGACUGAUCGACUCGAAGGCAGGAGAGGCGAGUGGAACUCCUGGUGUAGCGGUGGAAUGCGCAGAUAUCAGGAAGAACACCAACGGCGAAGGCAGCUCGCUAGGACGGUACUGACGCUGAGACGCGAAAGCGUGGGGAGCGAGCAGG